rnacentral:lncRNA from 1 species
GUGCAGUGGCUCACACCUAUAAUCCUAGCACUUUGGGAGGCUAAGGCAGGAGGAUUGCUUGAGGCCAAGAGUUCAAAACAAGCCUGGGCAACAUUGCAAGACCCCAACUCUACAAAAAACGAAAAAUUAGCCGGGAGCGGUGAUGUGUGCCUGUAGUCCCAGCUACUCAGGAGACUGAGGUGGGAGAAUCACUUGAGCCUGGGAGGUUGAGGCUGCAGUGAGCUGUGUUUAUACCACUGCACUCCAGCCUGCUGGGUAACAGAGCAAGACUCCAUCUCAAAAAGAAAAGAAAAAAUGCUUUGCUACAUAAUGAGGCCAGGCAAAAAAAAAAAAGUCCUGUGGAAAUCAUAUAGACAAACAUUUGCAAAGCUGCUACUGCCAUUGUACCAGUGUUAAACUGUGUUCUACCUUGCAUCUUUUACUGAUUUUUAUGACAGAUUUUAUAUUGUAACCAUUCGAGAACUCUGUAAGUGCUAUGGCUUCCUUAAACUACGAUUUAUCAUAUGCUCCCGGUGUUUACUUUGAGACUGAAUGGCAACCAGAGAAUGUAAACAACCAAGGUGCAUCUGGUUAUGUUUUAAAAUAAAGAUUAAUAAAAGUUUUGGUUUUUCUCUUUCUAACCUUCUUUUUAAACUAGAAAUAUAAUACCUAUAGAAAAGUAAAUGUUGG